rnacentral:snRNA from 1 species
AUACUCACCUGCAGGAGAGAUACCAUGAUCACAGAGGUGGUUUUCCCAGGGCGAGGAUGUGCUGACCCUGCGAUUUCCCCAAAUGCAGGAAACUCAACUGCAUACUUCAUGGUAGUGGGGGACUGCCGUUCGUUAGUGCUCUCCCCUG